UACGAAGGGGGCCAGCGUUGCUCGGAAUCACUGGGCGUAAAGCGCACGUAGGCGGAUUCUUAAGUCAGGGGUGAAAUCCUGGAGCUCAACUCCAGAACUGCCUUUGAUACUGGGAGUCUCGAGUCCGGGAGAGGUGAGUGGAACUGCGAGUGUAGAGGUGAAAUUCGUAGAUAUUCGCAAGAACACCAGUGGCGAAGGCGGCUCACUGGCCCGGUACUGACGCCGAGGUGCGAAAGCGUGGGGAGCAAACAGG
rnacentral:rRNA from 1 species